rnacentral:rRNA from 1 species
AACGCGAAGAACCUUACCUGGGUUUGACAUGCCAGGAUUAUCUCUAUGAAGUAGAGUAGGCCCUUCGGGUACAACUGGUACAGGUGCUGCAUGGCUGUCGUCAGCUCGUGUCGUGAGAUGUCGGGUUAAGUCCCUUAACGAGCGAAACCUUUGCCCUUAGUUACCAGCGGGUUAUGCCGGGGACUCUAAGGGGACUGCCGGUGUCAAACCGGAGGAAGGUGGAGAUGACGUCAAGUCCUCAUGGCCUUUAUGCCCAGGGCCACACACGUGCUACAAUGGCAUGCACAAAGCGAACCAAGAGCGCGAGCUGGAGGAAAUCGCAGAAAUCAUGCCCCAGUUCAGAUUGGAGGCUGCAACUCGCCUCCAUGAAGAUGGAAUCGCUAGUAAUCGCGGAUCAGCUACGCCGCGGUGAAUGUGUUCCCGGGCUUGUACACACCGUGUCGA